GUAGGGACAGAGAGCUGCAUUUUCUGAGGUCUUUCAUAGACUUGAGGGUCCAGCGACACUCCUCCCUCACCUGGGGAACCCCUUAGCUGCCUGCAGGCUGCCAAGUGGCAAAGGAUCCAGGAAAAGGCACAGGACUGGAAAGCGCUACCCAGCAAUCUGUGUAUUCGGCAAUUAACAAAGGACAUCGCCUUCUUACAAUGCAGAACAGACGAUGCACUGUCUCAGGUCACGCUUAGCCUCCUACGGGGGCACGACAGAAGAAGAGGAACAUUUAGAGAGGCACAGCUCCUACAUCCUUGGAUGGGGAGAGUGGGGAGCAAACAGGCCAGGAGCCUACUGUGAUCAGAGCUGGGGGAGCCAGUGUGAGCAGCAGGUGCAAUGAAAGGAUGUGGGAGUUUGAGACCCAUCUCUGCUGUGUGGCCCUGGCCAUGUGCAGUGGGUAAGUACAUCAGCAAGCAAACUGGCCUCAAGAAUCCCGCCCUAUCCUGGGCAUCUGGGGUUGAGGCUGGCUGUGCCAACCUUUGCACAGGGUUUCAAUCUGACCUCACUCAGAAAACGGAGCCACUUGCUUAGAGUCCCUCUCUCUGAACACGCUCUCCCCUCUGGAGGAAAAGCAUUGCAAUCCCAAGCUCCUGCUGCUGCCGUACAUCUGCAUCUUAUUCAUCUUUGAAGCUCCUGCAAUGCCUCCAACGGGGACACAACUAAAGGAAGCUCUCAGAACGCCCAGCUAUCCCCACUGCAGAAGGCUCUCCCUGAAAGGGCACAGGUGGAGGACGUUUGCAUUUAUCUGGAGACAGUUCAUGGAGAAACACAAAGAGGUGUCCUGACAAGACAACAGGUCCACAGCAGUCGUCAUCAUGAGUGCUCACCAUAUGCCAGGGUUCAUCUUUUAAAAUCCUUAACCAAACAACCAAACUGUGGUUGGGAUUAUUCUCUUUUUAUAGGUGAGAAAACUGAGGCUGAAAGCCAUUGGGUGGUUUGCCAAAGCUGAGAAGUAGCUGAGCUGGGGUUUGUACUCACACCACGGUGACUCGGAGGCCCAAGCCAGUUCUGACACACUGCCUUCCCAUGACAUUCCCACGACAGGUUCCCGAGGUCGUUGGAAUGCUUACACAUUUCAGCAACUUCAUGGCAACUGCCCAGCUCGACCCAGAAGAUAAUACUACCUUGUACUCCCCCUGCCGCUUCCUUCCUCCAGGCAGCUCACAGACAUGACCUCAUUCCCUCUCCCAGAGUCCCAUAGGGGUGAAGGACAGGGUGGGGAUCGUUAACUCUGCUUCCUAGGGAGGAAAGGGAGGCCCAGAGAGGGAUGCUGGCCCACCCUGGGUCAUCCAGCCAGCUAGCGGGAGAGCUGCAACUGGAAAUCAGGCUUCCCUGCCCUCGGGGACAGUUAUUUAGCCUCCUGGAUGUGAGCUAGAAUCACCCCUAAGAUGCAGCAAUUGGGGUACUCCUCUUGGGGUACUGGGACUCAGUGGCUGAAACAGCUCCAAGAGAGUUGGGCCUGUGCUGAAAACAGAAAUCCGAGAUGCAUAUAAAUUCAAUCCGUAUGAGAAGAGCAGGGUGGCCUGGGAGGAGUGGUCACCGCAGUGGCUCCACCUCCUACCCGGCCACCUGCAGCCCUGCCUGGGCUGCUCUUGGUCUCUCUGUGCCCAGCUUCCCUGGCCGGAUGCCCUGGGGGCCAGAGCAGCCGCAGGUGCGAUGAAAAGAACACUGGCCUUGAGGUCAUGGGACCUGGGGAGGAUAUUCACCAGGGGCCCCUAAGUUAGUCAUUUUAGCUCUCAGCUUUUCCAUUUUUCAUUCAAAAAAUGGGGACUCUAACUCCAUGAAAGAGACAUUGUGUGUGAAAUAUUUCAUCAUAAGCUGUGAAGCCUGCAAAGAAACUCCUGGUGUUCUCUGUAGCCUGAUUUCAUCUCUACUAAACGCUAUUUUGAAAAUGAUUUUGAAGCUGGUGGGUCACAUAGAAGGAUGGCCUGAGCAUCCAUCCAUCUUCCCUCCGGUGACCCUUUCACUUCGUGUCUGUGGUACCCAGUGCCUGGUACUGAAUGUUCCUGGGUGGCCCCGUGGUUCGGCAAACUUUCUGGAAAGGCCCAGAGAGAGAUCACCACCAUUCAUGGAUCACCACCUGUGGAUCACCACCAUUCAUGGAUCACCACCUGUGGAUCACCACCAUUCAUGGAUCACCACCUGUGGAUCACCACCAUUCAUGGAUCACCACCUGUGGAUCACCACCAUUCAUGGAUCACCACCUGUGGAUCACCACCAUUCAUGGAUCACCACCUGUGGAUCACCACAGUGUUUAAGACCAAGCGAGGAAACAUGUCACAGUGGAAUCUGGGCAGUGAGGAUGCUAUUUUCGAGGAAGAGCUCUUGCCUCACACCAGUAGACACAGGCAGCCAGCUCCUUGGCCUAACUUGAUGGACUCCCUAAACACUUCCUCUUCCUUCCAAGCCUGUGUCUCCCUUCCUCACCCUCACGCCACAGUCUUGGCCAGUCUUGUCACGGUGAGGCCAUCAGGUGAGAGGAUGUGGUGUGGAGGAUGUGUGCUUCAGGGUCGGGUAGACCCGGCCAUUCAUGCCUGUGGGACUGUGGAUGGUGAAAGCCCACCGACAGGUCACAGGCAUCUGGGAAAUGCCAAACAAAGUGGAAGAAGCUGGCUUUGGGUGAUGACCAGUUCAUAGAUGGCCUCUGACCUCACGGAGCUGGCAGCCCCUUGGCGAUAACAUAACCCUCUGUGCACUGGCUUUCUCAUUUGCAAAAGGAGAUCCUUUCCUCAGACUGAAAUAAUGCACAUAAGCUGCAUGGUAUGAAAUUUCUGAAGGGGCAUUCUUCCACAGCCCAAGAGGUGUAUCAGGAAGCUGGCCCUUCAGGGACAGGAACACCUGUGCACCACAUCUCUGCGAUGAUGCGACCUGGUGCCUGUGACACAUCCCUGCACAUUGCUGUGGGGGUAACCAAAAAUGGAGCUGUGGGAGCCAGUGGAGGGCAUGCUGGCGUAUCAGGGGCAGCAGCACCCGGGGCGGCGGUUGGGGGAAUGGAAUCCAAUAUGAAGAUGGUUCUUUCUUUCUCUAACACUUUACUGCAUGCCCUGGUGUCACUUUUCUCAGCAUGGCUUCUCCCUGCACUCCUUGCUUCCAAAUGCUCAGUACUUCCUGUCCACCCAGGUGGGUCACAGCACAGGCCUUGGAGGAAGCCGACUAAGCUGGGUUUGAAUGAUUGCUUCUGCAAGCUAACAGCCAUGUGGCCUUAGGUGAGUUAUGGGACCUCCCCAUGCCUCAGUUUCCUCAUGGACAAAGUGGGGGCUGACAAUACCAUCCUCCUUACUUCACCGUGGGGGUCUAGAGUGUGCUGCAGAAGUGCCUGGGUGAGACCUGCUUCCGGUUCCUCUUUAAGCCAUACGAAGGGGUGUUCCGGAUCUAACAGAUUCUCCCUUCUCAGGAGUACUUGCAUUUUAAAAGAUGACCCUGGGGCUGCUUCAUACAGCACAAUAAAUUGACUAGAGCGAAGCUCCGGUGGGAAGCAGUGGGGUAAAGAUAUUUUGGGGGCAGGAAAUGACCUUCCUUUACUUCCCAAAUCAUACCACUUAGACUAGCAGUUCUCAGCCUCAAAGCUGUGACACGCUGGUGUGGGACCAGCAGUUGUGAGAUGUAUCACAAGCAAAUGCUGCCAAAAAUAAAGUGCUGUGGUUUUUGAAUAAUCCCCCCCACCAAUUUUUUGUUUGUAAAUCAGAGGGAAUUCAGGGUUAUCCCUAUAAUGUUGUCACGUCCGCUGUCAUUCCUCCGUGAUUUCUCGAGCGGGAAAGAAGAGUGAGCAGGAACCACUGCUUUCUGCAACAACACAGGUGAUUCCUACGAUAGAAUACUAUGAUUGCAUUUACAUGACGCUCAAGAAUACGCCUGAUUGACAGUGAUAAGAGUCCAAAUAAUCUCACCUUGCCGGGGGUAUAUGGAUGGGGAGGAGGUGUGUGGGAGACUCUUGGGGUGUUGGAAAUAUUUGCUAUCUUGAUCUCGGUGGUGGUUACUUGGGUAAAUAACCAUUAAAUUGUAUGCUUAAGACCUAUGUACUUGAUGUAUGUACUUGUAACUACAUAGUUUUUUCUUUUUUGAGAUGGAGUUUGGCUCUGUUGCCCACGCUGGGCUCGGCUCACUGCAACCUCCGUCUCCCAGUUUCAAGUGAUUCUCCCGCC
rnacentral:lncRNA from 1 species